GUGUCAGCAGCCGCGGUAACACGUAGGGGACGAGCGUUGUCCGGAAUUAUUGGGCGUAAAGCGCGCGUAGGCGGCUCGGAAAGUCGGUCGUGAAAGGCUGGGGCUCAACCCCAGGACUGCGUCCGAUACUUCCGAGCUGGAGGCAGGUAGGGGAGAUCGGAAUUCCUGGUGUAGCGGUGAAAUGCGCAGAUAUCAGGAGGAACACCGGUGGCGAAGGCGGAUCUCUGGGCCUUGCCUGACGCUGAGGCGCGAAAGCUAGGGGAGCGAACAGGAUUAGAUACCCUCGUAGUCC
rnacentral:rRNA from 1 species